rnacentral:ncRNA from 1 species
ACGCCGCCGCGUGCGGCGGUCGGGGCCUCGACGGGCCCGAUGGGCGGGGGUGGUGCCGUGUCGGCGCAGCACCACCCCUGCGCU